rnacentral:snRNA from 1 species
AUCACUUCUCAGCCUUUUGGCUAAGAUCAAGUGUAGUAUCUGUUCUUAACAGUUUAAUAUCUGAUAUGUCCUCUAUCUGAGGACAAUAUAUUAAAUGGAAUGGGUCCAAUUUUGAUGUUUCCUUUACCUAAAACUCUAAAACAAUUGAGGGCCUUUU